UACGAAGGGGGCUAGCGUUGCUCGGAAUCACUGGGCGUAAAGCGCACGUAGGCGGCUUUUUAAGUCAGGGGUGAAAUCCUGGAGCCCAACUCCAGAACUGCCUUUGAUACUGGGAAGCUUGAGUCCGGAAGAGGUGAGUGGAACUCCGAGUGUAGAGGUGAAAUUCGUAGAUAUUCGGAAGAACACCAGUGGCGAAGGCGGCUCACUGGUCCGGUACUGACGCUGAGGCGCGAAAGCCAGGGGAGCAAACGGG
rnacentral:rRNA from 1 species